rnacentral:rRNA from 1 species
UACAGAGACUGCAAGCGUUAUUCGGAUUCACUGGGCGUAAAGGGUGCGCAGGCGGUCGUGUGUGUCAGGUGUGAAAUCUCGGAGCUCAACUCCGAAACUGCGCCUGAAACUACACGGCUAGAGCAUUGGAGAGGGUAGCGGAAUUCACGGUGUAGCAGUGAAAUGCGUAGAUAUCGUGAGGAACACCAGAGGCGAAGGCGGCUACCUGGACAAUUGCUGACGCUCAGGCACGAAAGCGUGGGGAGCAAAAGGG